CCUACGGGCGGCAGCAGUGGGGAAUAUUGCACAAUGGGGGAAACCCUGAUGCAGCGACGCCGCGUGAGUGAAGAAGUAUUUCGGUACGUAAAGCCCCAUCAGCAGGGAAGAAAAUGACGGUACCUGACUAAGAAGCCCCGGCUAACUACGUGCCAGCAGCCGCGGUAACACGGAGGGGGCCAGCGUUAUCCGGAUUUACUGGGGGUAAAGGGAGCGUAGGCGGCAGCGCAAGUCUGGAGUGAAAUCCAAUGGCUUAACCAUGGAACUGCGUUGGAAACUGUGCAGCUAGAGUGCAGGAGAGGUAAGCGGAAUGCGUGGUGUAGCGGUGAAAUGCGUAGAUAUUAGGAGGAACACCAGUGGCGAAGGCGGCUUACUGGACUGUAACUGACGUUGAGGCUCGAAAGCGUGGGGAGCGAACAGGAUUAGAUACCCCGGUAGUC
rnacentral:rRNA from 1 species